rnacentral:rRNA from 1 species
UGGCGAACGGGUGAGUAUCACGUGAGUAACCUGCCCUUGACUCUGGGAUAAGCCCGGGAAACUGGGUCUAAUACUGGAUAGGACUGGCCAUCGCAUGGUGGUUGGUUGAAAGCUUUUGCGGUUUUGGAUGGACUCGCGGCCUAUCAGCUUGUUGGUGGGGUAAUGGCCUACCAAGGCUUUGACGGGUAGCCGGCCUGAGAGGGUGACCGGCCACACUGGGACUGAGACACGGCCCAGACUCCUACGGGAGGCAGCAGUGGGGGAUAUUGCACAAUGGGCGCAAGCCUGAUGCAGCGACGCCGCGUGAGGGAUGACGGCCUUCGGGUUGUAAACCUCUUUCAGUUGGGAAGAAGCCUUUCGGGGUGACGGUACCUUCAGAAGAAGCACCGGCUAACUACGUGCCAGCAGCCGCGGUAAUACGUAGGGUGCGAGCGUUAUCCGGAAUUAUUGGGCGUAAA